ACUCAGUGAAAGGGUUAAUGUUGUAAUGGACUCUAAUCCCCUCGGUUCUCGAUCCCUCGGUCACCAUAAUCAACGUUGAUGGAGAGUCAUUUGUAAGCAAUAACACACGGACAACAGCUUUACAAGACUCUCAAAUGAGUGUAUUCCAGAGCUGGCUUUUAUACAUAGUUUGCUUACAUUAGCCAUGGUAUAUGCAAAUACAGUACAGACUAUAAGAUUUAUUACUUCCUUAUAUUACGUUAUUCUGACAAUGGAAAGAUAAGCUUUUGCAUACGUCUGGGAAAGAAUAUCCUUAAAAUCGGAAUGGGCAAGACAUCCUGAAAUUUAGCAUUGUCUUACAUCCUAUAGAAGAAAUACCUUAGUCUGUCACAGUCAGCAUAUUAUGUACAAUAUCCCUUCAGUCAGCAAUAAUCAUGUUAUAAACCUUAUAAAAGCAUAAAAUACAUAUAAACAAGUUAACUAUUUAAUAUUCUUACAUUCCCCUCUUUGAGCAAUAAAACAAUUGCUCAUCUUAUCGAUAAAAUCUUACCAGGACAGAGAAACUUCCACAUGGUAUUUUCAGGGGUGCUAGUCACUCCCUGCGGGACUUUCAUUAAUUUCUUCACCUCGAUUCCCAUGUGGUAAUUCCUAAGGCCUAGUUUAAAGAUGGGUUGAUACUCUACAGUGGCAGAGAGGAGAAUUUCUAAUUGUUUCUGUUCUGCAUUAUGGAUUCAUUUCUGUACUCUCUUCCUCAAUGUACAAGUAAGGUGACAGUUAUAUAAAAUCAUACACAAUAAAAUCAGGACUAUAAUAACAAAAUGAUAGAAGAAUGAUUUCAUUAUCUGAGAUCCAGUAGGGGACCAACCAGUGAAGCAUCGUACCAAUGAUGGGCUAAAUCAUUCUGAAUUUGUGAACUCACCUUAAGGAGUUCUCCUUUUAGGAUAUGUGUGGCUACCUGUGUGUGUUAUCUUUGGGAAAAAUAUAGUCCCCUGUGUAUGUGGGUGCCCACCAGGUUAAAUUCUUGGCAAAAAGAUCAUAAACUGGUACUGGUAAUGUGUUAAAUUGACAAGCUAAUUUAACAUCCUUUGAUGAUGUAUGAUAUAAUGUAAAAUAGCAAGAGCAUGAAAAAAUGUGAAGCAUUACCAGUUAACCAUCCAUUGCAUUUAGUGGAUUGGGGUUUUAGAAGUAACCAUUCAUUAUCUGUGAGGUUAAGCAUCCCUCUAAUCUUCUCUAGUUUAGGAAUCAUUAGUGUGUUUUCUAAUGCCAAUCCUUGUUGUAUCCAUAAAUACCUGAUGGCACAAGUACUCCAGUUACUUAGACCUGUUGUGAAUUUCAUAGUUGCAACAGUUAAAUUGUCUAAAUAAUUAUACAUUGAUUUAUCUAAAUCCAAUCCUAUAACCUGUGAUUUAACAACAAUUGGAGCCCAAUUUGCAGUAGCAUGAAAACCAGUCCCUAUAUGCAUGCUGGCUGUGUUUAACUUAUUCUUGAGGGUCUCCAUAUCUAUAACUAUUUAGUAUACCCAUAGUGGUUCCAGCACCAUCUAACAGUGUGUCAUACCAUUCCCUUUUCUGCCUUUGUUUGUUGUAUUACAUAAUGUUACAACAAGAGUAGUGACUUUUAAUGACACAUGUACAGCUUGUAAGAAGGCAGUUGUAUUAAUAAAUGUGGACGGAAUAGGUGUGUGUGUGUGAGUCGUUGUUGACUUUUGGUUCUAUGGUAGAGAAUAAAGGACAGUAAUAAGGUGUAAAAAUAUAAGGUAGUGUAUAGUUCUCAAUUGUAGUGUCGUUCAUAAUGACUAACAUUUGUCCCCUUCUCCAAUUAAUGAUACCAGUUAUAUAAUCAUUAUUAAAAGUAAUAAGGCCUGUCUGUUUACAUUGAUAUGCAACCUUAACUGUGCACAUUUCUGCGUUAUAAGAUCUAACAAUUUUCUGUGAACCUUCAAACAAACAUAAUGCAUCGGUUUCAUUAGCUGUAGACACAUUUCAUAUGGGUAACUGGUACUUAUAAGGGUUACUAUUUGUCCAAUUCAUCCAGAUGCGUUCAGUGAAUGAAUGAUUGCAUAUUGCAUGCUGAUAGAAAGGUGGUGGAGAAAGGUUCUUGAGGGGGCGUGUGUGACGAAUGCUAGAUGAGGGGCUAAGGCCUAAUUGGGCUGGGGGUAUUGAAGAAUUGUUCAUCAUGUCAGAGUCUUUUUCCAGAACUUGCCAUUGACUUGUACUCAUAAUGGCAUUCAAGGAACAAUAUCAGAGGGAGUAUAACAACUCCAGAAAGCAUAGCACACAACAUAAUCUUGGUCUCAGGUACGUAUGAUCCUCUCAAUCUACGAUAUGGUGUAAAAGCCAUGAUGCUUCGCUGAGGAGAAAUUCUUCUGUUUCCGAGCGAGGAGUGGUGUUGUCUUCCUUGGUUCCCCUCUUUGGACACAGCUUCACUCGGGAUGCGUGAAUCCAGAUGUCAUGGGAAUCUGUGAGGACAGCGGUUAUGGGUACAGCAAUCACAGUAGCAGGUGGUCCAAAAGGGUAUCCUUCUUUCUUGGUCCUGUUCAGCUGACGGAUAUACACCUUGUCACCGGGCUGGUAUGAAUGAGUAGGUUCCUGUGAAGGUAAGGGAAAACUGCGAAGAAACAUUGUCAUACAUACCAUUCGGUUUUAUCAACAAUUCACCUUGUGGGGAUUCAUUCUUAUCUCAGCUAAAAUAGCUGGUAGAUAUCUUGUCCAAUUUACCCAUGUUCCUGGGUAAAUUCUGGGCUUUUCCUUAAUAGUCCUAUUCAUCCUUUCAACUACCCCUGUAUUCUGUGGAUGAUAGGGUAUAUGAAACUGCCAGGUAACUUGCAAGAAUUUAGCAAGUUCCUGGGCAACCUUACUUGCAAAAACCGGGCCAUUAUCAGAGCCAAUCUGCAGAGGGCAGCCAUACCUGGGAAUAAUUUCAGUAACAAUAAUCUUCACUAGCAUCUUCCCUAGAUAUCACAAAGGCCUCAUGCCAUCUACUAAACUGAUUAACUAUGACCAGUAAGUAUUGCUGUUUCUUACCAAUUUUGGAUACAUGAAUAAAAUCAAUCUGUAAGUGUGUAAAAAGAGCAGCGUUCACACGAUCUUACAAAAGACUGUACAUGCUGCCUGAGAUUCCUAAUAUAAAAUGAAUUCAUGAAGAAUUGAAUGGUGCUUGCUAUAUGCCUGACUGAUGAAAAUAAAUCAGCUUGCUUCAAGUAUGCCUAUUCUUCAAGUAUGCCUAUUCUCCCCUCUUUAGAGAACAGAUCAUUUUGAUCUUUCUCUAAACCUUGUUUAAUCCAAAAGACAGAUUCUGGGUAUUAAAAAAAUAAUCUCAUAACCACUGAAGCGCUGGGCUGUCAUGUGUUGUAUGGUGAUAUUUAUUAUCAGCUGAGUGACCUGGUGACUGGCAUGAAGUAUUGUAGGAUGCCCUAGUGUGAUAGUAGUAGCAGUUUCAACAGCCAUUGCACAUGCUAUCAAUGCUCUGAGACACGCCGGCAUACCCUGUACCGGAGCUUGAACUACUUUGGAAAAGAAUGCUAUGGGACGCAUACCGCCUCCUUGCUCUUGUGCACAGACCGCGGCCAUGGUUUUACAAUUAUCCCAAGC
rnacentral:lncRNA from 1 species